GAUGAAGAACGCAGCAAAAUGCGAUACUUGGUGUGAAUUGCAGAAUCCCGUGAACCAUCGAGCUUUUGAACGCAAGUUGCGCCCGAAGCCUUUUGGCCGAGGGCACGUCUGCCUGGGCGUCACGCAUCGCGUCGCCCCCCACAAUUCUCCGUAAAGGGAACAUGUGUUUUGGGGGCGGAUAUUGGUCUCCCGUGCUCAUGGCGUGGUUGGCCGAAAUAGGAGUCCUUUCGAUGGACGCACGAACUAGUGGUGGUCGUAAAAACCCUCGUCUUUUGUUUCGUGCUGUUGCUCGCAAGGUAAACUCUUUAAAAACCCCAAUGUGUCGUCUCUUGACGACGCUUCGACCGCGACCCCAGGUCAGGCGGGACUACCCGCUGAGUUUAAGCAUAUCAAUAAGCGGAGGA
rnacentral:misc_RNA from 1 species